CAAAUACAUGGGAAAGCUGAUACUUUCUUUAGAUUCCUCUGUGAACACUGUGCGAACAUCACUUUGCACUUCGAUGAACGAGACCAUACGGUUAUUCCAGCCCCAGGGUCUGAGCUAAAACAGAGAGAAGCAGACAGACACACAAACACACCCAGAGAGAGAGAGAGGGAUGGGAAUCCGAGUCAACAGAUCAGGACAGCCCAUGCCUAAAUAAC
rnacentral:lncRNA from 1 species